AGACCCGAAACCCGGUGAUCUAGCCAUGGGCAGGUUGAAGGUUGGGUAACACUAACUGGAGGACCGAACCGACUAAUGUUGAAAAAUUAGCGGAUGACCUGUGGCUGGGGGUGAAAGGCCAAUCAAACCGGGAGAUAGCUGGUUCUCCCCGAAAGCUAUUUAGGUAGCGCCUCGUGAAUUCAUCUCCGGGGGUAGAGCACUGUUUCGGCUAGGGGGCCAUCCCGGCUUACCAACCCGAUGCAAACUGCGAAUACCGGAGAAUGUUAUCACGGGAGACACACGGCGGGUGCUAACGUCCGUCGUGAAGAGGGAAACAACCCAGACCGCCAGCUAAGGUCCCAAAGUCAUGGUUAAGUGGGAAACGAUGUGGGAAGGCCCAGACAGCCAGGAUGUUGGCUUAGAAGCAGCCAUCAUUUAAAGAAAGCGUAAUAGCUCACUGGUCGAGUCGGCCUGCGCGGAAGAUGUAACGGGGCUAAACCAUGCACCGAAGCUGCGGCAGCGAACGUAUCACUUAAAGCGAUUCAGCGGGUUACGAUUGACGGAGCGAAGCGACGUCAAAGCGUAUACAAAGUCGAGUCGGUUUAAGGAUACGUUCGUUGGGUAGGGGAGCGUUCUGUAAGCCUGCGAAGGUGGCCUGUGAGGGUUGCUGGAGGUAUCAGAAGUGCGAAUGCUGACAUAAGUAACGAUAAAGCGGGUGAAAAGCCCGCUCGCCGGAAGACCAAGGGUUCCUGUCCAACGUUAAUCGGGGCAGGGUGAGUCGA
rnacentral:rRNA from 1 species